UCUCCGUAGGUGAACCUGCGGAGGGAUCAUUACCGAGUGAGGGCCUCUGGCCCGACCUCCAACCCUUUGUUAAUCAAUACCUCGUUGCCUCGGGGGUGACCCGGACCUCGCGUCCGGGGCCCCCGGUGGACCACAUUCAAACUCUUGCAUCUCUGCGUCGGAGUCUCGAGCAAAUCGAUUAAAACUUUCAACAACGGAUCUCUUGGUUCUGGCAUCGAUGAAGAACGCAGC
rnacentral:misc_RNA from 1 species